AAGGAGGCCAAGCCUCGGCGGCGCCGUACGUCGCCGGGUGCGCCACGCGCCGGGCUACGUAUCCCUCAUGCUGACACGGUCCCGCGGCGGGUCCCCCAAGGCGACGUGGUCCACUACGUGUCCUCUGGUCCGCGAUCAAUCCAUGCAGCGCGAUGCGUGCAUCUCUCCGUGGCGCAGCUCAAGGCAGAGCUCUGCCCCUUCCUCUCGAUUCCUCCUCCACAGGCCACCCCUUUUCGAUUUCUUCGUGCAGGGAGAAAUUCCUAGAAGUCCUCCACCGUUUCCCCACUUUGUCCGGUCGUUUUCCCCAUCGGAGAGUCGCGCCCAAGCUCGCCACCGCCACGGCUGUCUAUUUUCGAACCAUUUUACCAUUCUUUUGAUUCCUCCUUAUACGAGCCAUCAAUCUUCAAUUAAUUGCACCCGCACAUUCUCCUCGAGGUCCUCUACAAUCCCAGACCUUUGGUUGGUCGCUCAAGGCACCAAAGAGGCUGCAGCCAUGGUCGCCAUGGUUGCUAUCCCGAAGCUCCCGGUCACGCCGUCGCCCCUCUUGAACAAAGCCAGAGAAAAGGGAACGCGGCGGCCGUCGCUCGCCGGGGUCGCCAUCUUUCUGGACGCCAGUGAACUCCUUGUUCGCACCUCCUUUUUGGUCGUUUCUAUGCAUGGUUGAACCCGCCUCGGUGAGGCCAUCAUGGUGCUCACCAUGGUCUGCCCGGUCUGCUUGUAGGAUGGCGAGAACGCCAGCUUGCCACUGAAGCUCGACGCCGCCGGUCUUCAUCAUCUUCGCGCAUGCGUUCCCGGCCAACCCCACCUCCUGUGCUCCCUGCGUCAUAUCGUGUGCAGUAGAGUUGUACACGCUGUGUGACCGAGAUGCCGGAGAGCGAACCCGUUGAGCCCGAGCCCGGUGUUGAGUUCCUUGUUGAGCCGGAAGAAAACCAAGGCAAGCAGCUAUGCAUGAUCCCUUACGCCUAUUUAAAAUUGAUGCAAUUUAGCUGUCACUUGGGUAUUAUUGGGUUAACUAGGGUUAAUUGGAUCCAUGCCAUUAUAAUUUUCCAAAUUCACUGAUCUGCCAUUACAAUUCGUCUAUUUCGAACCGUGCCAUUAUAAUUUUCUAACUCUUCGAAACAUACCA